GAAGGAUGCUGAAUGGGUGUAUACAAAGAAGAGCUCUUCACUAGAUACCAAAAUGUUCAAAGGUGACUUUCUCAAAAGGGCUUUCGACAAAGGUCAGUGGGAAUAAGUUGUGAUGGACUACUUUCUGGAGGAUGAUCAUGCCAUGCUGACUCUCUCUGACUCUGAAAAUAAAUCAGACGAUGAGGAAAUCCCUGAUUUAGCAUCAGUAGAACACGCCUGACUCUCCUCCACCAGUCAUACAAGGAGAAUGGUCUAAUGACUCCCAUCAAAAAGAGAGCUGGCCCAACACAGGUUACACCUGAAGCAUGAGGACUUGCAGCGAGUGGUGAACUUCAUCAACAACUACACAGAGGAUAAUGCAAUAGUAUUACCAGGACGCCACCCAGGACACAAACACUUUGGUGGAAAGCUGCUGCCAUCCCAUGUGACAAAAGCAGCAGUGUGGCGUCUCUACAAGGAAUCGAUGACAACAGUUGCUGGUUGGACUGGAGGAUGGUACGGUGCUGGUGGAAAGCUAUAGCUGGCAACAACACCUGACUCCGUACUUCAGGCCGCUGCCACAGAUCAAGCAGUAGCAGCACUUCAACUUCGAUGCUCUGGAGCCUGGUGUUGUUGUCGCCAAGGAGCAUUCGGACUCAGUCGGGACCAGGUUUCAGCUGCUGCGCAGCACUGACAUCCUUCCUCCCAUAGAUGGUCUGCCUGUAAAGCACCACCUGGACUGGACACAGCCAGACAAAUGUAUCUUUUUGAGAAGAUCAGGGAGUUUUGCGACGAAGAGGCUAUGGACAUCACAUGCCCUGCACCAAAAACAAGGGCAGGACAGAAACAGGCUCUCAGAAUAUAGAUUCCCUUGUUCAUGCGUGGUUCGUCAGGACCAGUCAUCAGCACUAUCUACAGUGCCUCUAUUAAAAUGAAUCUCUCCUAACACACACUCCAUACGUUGCUGCUACUAUUUUUUCUAUCCUGCUGCUCAGCCACUUUACCCCUGAUUGUAUGAAUAUAAAACUACCUCGUCUAUCACUACUGUCCGUGUACAUAGUGUCAAUAUAAAUAAAAUAAUAUACAGUAUCCAUUUCUGAUAUUGCUACUAUGCAAGUAACCAUUUGACUGUCUGUUUACACCUUCUGUAGAGACCCAUCCACUUAGCAAGACUUAGCAAAAUAUUGAUAUGCUGUCGUAACAUGAUUUUGUGACAUACCAUAAAAAUAUCAUGUGACCGUAUCAAGUGUCCACCGCAUGCAUCUGUUUAUGUACUGUACAUGUGCACCUCACUCAGGAUUAAACUCAGGUUGCAUGACCUUAACUUAUGUAUGGAAUACUAUGUGAUAAGUGCGUGUGUAACAGUAUAUAAAGUAUGCUAAUGUACUGGUGUGAAGGCAUUUGGGCAGUGUAAAGUACUUCAGUAAAAAUACUUUAAAGUACUACUUAAGUAUUUUUUGGAGGGUAUCUGUACAUUACUUUACUAUUUAUAUUUUUGUCUACUUUUACUUUUACUUCAAUACCUUUCAAAAGAAAAUAAUGUACUUUUUACUCCAUACAUUUUCCCUGACACCCAAAAGUAAAAAUUGUCAAAUUCUCACACUUAUCAAGAGAACAUCCCUGGUCAUCCCUACUGCAUUUGAUCUGGCAGACUCACUAAACACAAAUGCUUUGUUUGUAAAUUUUGUCUGAGUGUUGGAGUGUGCCCCUGGCUAUCCGUCAAUAAAAAAAAUGUAAAAAA
rnacentral:lncRNA from 1 species